GUCACCGUCACCUCCUGAGUAGUCAAAAGCAAGAAAUAGGAAGAAACACAAGCAUACUAUAAAAUAAAAGAGAUGAAAUAAAGAAGAAAAAGAAAGUGUUUGAGAAUAGCUUAACAAUUAAAAGCAACUUAAAAGACAUGAACAUAGCGAAAUGACCCAGUGAGUCCAACAUAGUGCUCUAGGGAUGCUGAAGUGACCAAUCAAUGAUGAGGAAGAUGACAAGUACAUACAUAUCACAUGCUGUCCUCACCUGUGAGACGGUAUCUAAAAUAUCAACAAGAAUACUUCCUGUGGGAAGUAUUUUAAUAGGAGGAUAAAAAGGAGCCUGUGAUUUCAGAAAACGAUGUUCCUAUAUCCAAGGAAAAUACUCUCCCAGGAAAAACACAGCAGACUUUCCAGGUUCAAGAUGUCGUUCCAGAUUCCAGAUUCAAGAAGCCAUUAUAUUAAUGCAAAUUUAACUUGAUGAAAAAAAUUUCAUGCUGUGUCUAUGAAAUGUGAGUAGAAAUCAUUACAGUGGCUGGGCGCGGUGGCUCACGCCUGUAAUCCCAGCACUUUGGGAAGCCGAGGCUGUUGGAUCACCUGAAGUUGGGAGUUCGCGACCAGCCUGACCAACAUGGAGAAACCCCAUCUGUACUAAAGAUACAAAAUUAGCUGGGCGUGGUGGCAUAUGCCUGUAAUCCCAGCUACUUGGGAGGCUGAGACAGGAGAAUCGCUUGAACCCGGAAGGCGGAGGUUGUGGUAAGCCGAGAUUGUGCCAUUGCACUCCAGCCUGGGCAACAAGAGCAAAACUCCAUCUCAAAAAAAAAAAAAAAGAAAGAAAUCAUUACAGUAACAUUAAUAAAAGUAAGAUGACAAAA
rnacentral:lncRNA from 1 species